UGAGGAAUAUUGGUCAAUGGACGGAAGUCUGAACCAGCCAAGUAGCGUGCAGGAUGACGGCCCUAUGGGUUGUAAACUGCUUUUAUACGGGGAUAAAGUUAGGGACGUGUCCCUAUUUGCAGGUACCGUAUGAAUAAGGACCGGCUAAUUCCGUGCCAGCAGCCGCGGUAAUACGGAAGGUCCGGGCGUUAUCCGGAUUUACUGGGUGUAAAGGGCGUGCAGGCGGGCUGAUAAGUCAGAUGUGAAAUCCCCGAGCUUAACUCGGGAACUGCAUCUGAUACUGUUGGUCUUGAGUGCUGGAGAGGAUAGUGGAAUUCCUAGUGUAGCGGUAAAAUGCGCAGAUAUUAGGAGGAACACCAGUGGCGAAGGCGGCUAUCUGGACAGUAACUGACGCUGAGGCGCGAAAGCGUGGGUAGCAAACAGG
rnacentral:rRNA from 1 species